AACGAACGCUGGCGGCAGGCUUAACACAUGCAAGUCGAACGCCCCGCAAGGGGAGUGGCAGACGGGUGAGUAACGCGUGGGAAUCUACCCAGAUCUACGGAACAACAGAGGGAAACUUCUGCUAAUACCGUGUACGCCCUACGGGGGAAAGAUUUAUCGGAUUUGGAUGAGCCCGCGUAAGAUUAGCUAGUUGGUGGGGUAAUGGCCUACCAAGGCGACGAUCUUUAGCUGGUCUGAGAGGAUGAUCAGCCACACUGGGACUGAGACACGGCCCAGACGCCUACGGGAGGCAGCAGUGGGGAAUAUUGGACAAUGGGCGCAAGCCUGAUCCAGCCAUGCCGCGUGAGGGAUGAAGGCCUUAGGGUUGUAAAGCUCUUUCACCGAUGAAGAUAAUGACGGUAGUCGGAGAAGAAGCCCCGGCUAACUUCGUGCCAGCCGCCGCGGUAA
rnacentral:rRNA from 1 species